rnacentral:tRNA from 1 species
AAUAGCGUGAUGGAAUUGGAAGACAUGCUUGUUUUAGAAACAAGUUCAUUUUAGAGUGAAGGUUCGAAUCCUUUCGCUGUUA